rnacentral:rRNA from 1 species
CCCGCUGAACUUAAGCAUAUCAAUAAGCGGAGGAAAAGAAACUAACAAGGAUUCCCCUAGUAACUGCGAGUGAAGCGGGAAAAGCUCAAAUUUAAAAUCUGGCGGUCUUUGGCCAUCCGAGUUGUAAUUUAGAGAAGUGUCUUCCGCGCUGGACCAUGCACAAGUCUCCUGGAAUGGAGCGUCAUAGAGGGUGAGAAUCCCGUCUUUGGCAUGGACACACCAGGGCUUCUGUGAUGCGCUCUCGAAGAGUCGAGUUGUUUGGGAAUGCAGCUCAAAAUGGGUGGUGAACUCCAUCUAAAGCUAAAUAUUGGCGAGAGACCGAUAGCGAACAAGUACCGUGAGGGAAAGAUGAAAAGCACUUUGGAAAGAGAGUGAAACAGUACGUGAAAUUGUUGAAAGGGAAACGCUUGAAGUCAGUCGCGUCGGCCGAGACUCAGCCUUGCCUCGGCUUGGUGUAUUUCUUGGCCCGACGGGUCAGCAUCAAUUUUGCCCCUUGGAUAAUGGCUAGGGAAAUGUGACACCUUUAUAGGUGUGUUAUAGUCUCUCGUCGCAUGCAAGGGUCAGGAUUGAGGAACUCAGCAUGCACCUUCGGGUGUCGGGGCUUUUGUCCACGAUACAUGCUUAGGAUGUUGGCGUAAUGGCUUUAAACGACCCGUCUUGAAACACGG